UAAAAAAUAUUUUAAUACGAUACGUUGUUUUGUAUUGUUAGACUACAGAAACUAUUGCAAACGUAAUCAAAUGACGUAUCAAAAUGACGCAAUUAAAUAAACAGUUUAAAUUACUCAAAAUUGUUUCGUUUUUUAUUUAGUUAUGGACUGCUGGAUGUUUUUUAUGCUUCUGUGCUGCUGCCACCUUUUGUUGAUAGCUGUUGUAAUUAUCCUUGUAGUUUUCAAUCUCUUGCUAUUGCUCAAACAAAAGGAGAAUAUAUUAAAAAGCUCUGAAAAUAACUACAAAACAUUAAACAAGUUGUUAAAGAACGGUUGUAUCUCAAAGAUAGCCGAAAGUGAAAUUUCUUCUAAAGUUGAAAGUCAAGGACACGUCUUUCGUAUUGUAGAAAGAAUAAGCGAACUAGAAGAUAUUAUUACAAAACAAAGAAUGAAGAAUAACCGUCGUAAAAGUCUAUGUCAUACAAAACGACAAAGUGUUUGCGAAGAUAGUUUAGUUUUUCGUAGAAAAUCACGAAUUAACUCACCUAGUGAAAGUGAAGAUCAGUUUUGAACACAGUUAGAUAUUGAAAAAAUGAAAGAC
rnacentral:lncRNA from 1 species